rnacentral:rRNA from 1 species
UACGUAGGGGGCAAGCGUUGUUCGGAAUCACUGGGCGUAAAGGGAGCGUAGGCGGAUCGGUAAGUUAGGAGUGAAAUCCACAGGCUCAACCUGUGGCUUGCUUUUAAUACUGCCAGUCUUGAGUAUGGGAGAGGAUGAUGGAAUUCCAGGUGUAGCGGUGGAAUGCGUAGAGAUCUGGAAGAACACCAGUUGCGUAGGCGGUCAUCUGGCCCAAUACUGACGCUGAGGCUCGAAAGCUAGGGGAGCAAACAGG